rnacentral:siRNA from 1 species
UGCAAAUGUUUUAGCUCCGC